UACGAAGGGGGCUAGCGUUGCUCGGAAUUACUGGGCGUAAAGCGCACGUAGGCGGCUUCUUAAGUCGGAGGUGAAAUCCUGGAGCUCAACUCCAGAACUGCCUUCGAUACUGGAAGACUUGAGUCCGGGAGAGGUGAGUGGAACUGCGAGUGUAGAGGUGAAAUUCGUAGAUAUUCGCAAGAACACCAGUGGCGAAGGCGGCUCACUGGCCCGGUACUGACGCUGAGGUGCGAAAGCGUGGGGAGCAAACAGG
rnacentral:rRNA from 1 species